CCUGGGACCAGCCGGGGGCGGGCAGGGCCGCCGGCUUCCGGCUGCCCCGGGGCGCAGGGGUGGGGGUCGCUGGCACGCGGGAGAGGACCCUGAGCUUCUCCCGGCCGGGAGCGUCCGGAGCCGGCCAGCCGAGUCUGACGGGUCUCCCGCCAUUUGAGACGCCGAUCGGGCACGUUGCCUGCACGUAGAGCGCUACCAGGCGCCCCAGGGUUUUGAUCAACCCCGACUCUAGCCUUUCCCAGAACUAGCCUUCCUCGGCCAGAAGAUGCCCCCGGGCGAGGGAAGAACCGGUAGGGGAGCGGAAAGGGCUUUGGCGUGGGAAGAGUAGAGACUGAAUUCCUUAAGAUUUGCCAGCUCUAAGACCUUGGCUACGUUAUCUGUUUUCUUAGACUAUUUCAUCCUUUAUUAAAAAAAAAAAAUUGUGGAGCCUUCUGGACAAGGAUGAAGAUACCAAGUGGAGUGUUUUGAGCGCGCGUCAACCGGCCGAGGGUUGUGAUUUCCAUCUUUUAAACGCGAGUCCAGACAUCGUGCUCCUCCCUUCUAAGGUCACUCGGAAGCCCUUGAGAGCCCCGGACCAGAGUCCAUUUGCCAUGACGCUGCUGCAUAACUCCGGUCUGGCUGAGCUCUGACCUCUGCGACAGAGAAUGGGCAUCUCCGUCUGCUGUAGAAGCCCUCAGGAGAAUUCAGUGGAGGACAUGUCUGACACUGAAAAUCCCUCUUAAAAUGCCACUGUACCAGAUCAGAAUAGAGAAGAUCAGAAUAAAGUGGGAGCACUGGCCGGCUGAAAAUUUCUAUAUCCUGGUUGCAAACAGAAGUCUUUUGAUCUUUUCUUAUAUUCUCUAAAUUUACUUUCAUUAUCUCUUCAAAUAUUUUUUUUCUCCAACUUUAUAUUUUUAUUUCUGAAAUCCUAUUAUCUGGAUAUUUUUACUUCUACUUUUACUAAUUUUUUUAAAUAUUUUCAAUUUUUAAAACCUCUCCCAUCUGGGAAAGUUAUUCAAGUUGGUCUUCCCGUUCACUAACAUUUUCUUCAGCAGUGUUCAUUCUAUUUAUCCCAACUACCUGGACUGAUCAGCACUUCUUGUUUUGAAGGGCUACUAAGAAUUAAUGAUUGCUAUAUUCAUUCAUUCACAUAUUCAUCAAGUAUUCACUGAAUGCCUACCUUAUGCCAGGCUGGGUUCUAGGCAUGGGGAAUUCAAUCGCCAUCUAUGCAAAGUAGACUUAACUAAUUUAAACCUCUAGCUCAGAUUCACAUGUGCAACUGGCUACUUGACAUCAGACGCAAGUCAACAUGUCCAAAAUUGACCCAGGGACCUUCCCCUAAUCAGUAUUCCCUUGGGGGCAAGUCACAGAAUUCCAGGUCACACUAGUUUAAGCCAUAAACCGAAGUUAAUGGCUCAGUUAACUGAGAAGUCCAGAGGAAGAAUGGCUUGAGGCCUGGUGGAUUGAUAUUAAAGGUUCAAUGAUAUUGACAGGACUCAGUAUCUAUUUUUCCAUUUCUUGCUUCUGCUUUUUUCUCUGCUGACUUCACUUGUGGGAUCUUCAUCCUGGACCAGAGAUUGAACAUAGUCCCUCUGCAGUGAAAUGCAGAGUCCUAACCACUGGACUGCCAGGGAAUCCCCUCUGCUGACUUGACUUCUAUGCUUACCCUCCCUCACAUGGAGGUGAGAUAAUCACCAGCAGCAACAGGCUUCCAUGCUUCCAGCUCAGCAUCUCCAGCAGACAAACAGAGGUUUCUCUAUCCCAAUAAUUCCAUCAUCAGCUCCAGGCUUGCGUCUUGUUGACUCUCCUUGGGUUUUGUGCCUAGUUAUGACACAAUCAUUGUAAUUUGGAGAAGGAAUCUUUGGAUGGGCCAGAUCCAGGUCUGAAGCUCACUCUUGCAGCUGAAGUUAUGUUCUGCUAGCUUUGCAACCCAGUACAAUUAAAAAAGCCUCCUCCCUGAGUGCUCCAUCAAAUGUUUGAAGGGGGACUCUCAUCAGCCUGGCUUAGGACUCACGGUCUUUUCCAAACCAAUGUCUGUGUCCUAUUGGUAGGCCUGGAUCUGGAGUUGCCAGAUUUAAUGAAUAAAAAUAUGAGUAUAAGGAAGAUCUGGUAUAUAUAUACAGUGGAAUAUAGCUCAGCCAUAAAAAGAAUGAAAUAACAUUUGCAGCAACAUGGAUAGACCUGGAGAUUGUGAUACUGAGUGAAGUAAGUCAGAGAAAGAGAAAUAUCCUAUGAUAUCCCUUCUAUGAAGAUUCUAAAAAGAAAUGAUACAAAUGAACUUAUUUACAAGACACAAACAGACUCACAGUCUUCCAGAAGGAACUUAUGGUUGCUGGGGGUAAGGAUAGGGGGAAUGGAUAGUUAGGGAGCUUGGGACAGACAAGUACACACUGCUAUAUUUAAAAUGGAUAACCAACAAGGACUUGCUGCGUAGCGCAGGGAACUCUGCUCAAUGUUAUGCGGCAGCCUGGAUGGGAGGGGAGUUUG